UACGGAGGGUGCAAGCGUUAUCCGGAAUCAUUGGGUUUAAAGGGUCCGCAGGCGGAUUUAUAAGUCAGUGGUGAAAUCUCUCGGCUCAACCGAGAAACUGCCAUUGAUACUGUAAGUUUUGAAUUCGGUCGAAGUGGGCGGAAUAUGACAUGUAGCGGUGAAAUGCUUAGAUAUGUCAUAGAACACCGAUAGCGAAGGCAGCUCACUAGGCCUGGACUGACACUCAGGGACGAAAGCUAGGGGAGCGAAUGGG
rnacentral:rRNA from 1 species